rnacentral:rRNA from 1 species
AUACGGAGGCUGCGAGCGUUAAUCGGAAUUACUGGGCGUAAAGCGUACGUAGGCGGUUGGUUAAGUUAGAUGUGAAAGCCCCGGGCUUAACCUGGGAACUGCAUUUAAAACUGGCGAACUAGAGUUGAGUAGAGGGGAGUGGAAUUUCAGGUGUAGCGGUGAAAUGCGUAGAGAUCUGAAGGAACACCAGUGGCGAAGGCGACUCCCUGGACUCGAACUGACGCUGAGGUACGAAAGCGUGGGUAGCAAACGGGAUUAGAAACCCUAGUAGUCC